CUACAUCUCACAUUGCGAGCGUUUAGCUCAGAAACAACGAUCGCAGUCAGAGAUGUGAUA
rnacentral:pre_miRNA from 1 species